rnacentral:RNase_P_RNA from 3 species
AAAGUUGGCCAGACAGCCGCUGCCGCGCAAGCGGGAGAGGAAAGUCCGGGCUCCACAGAGCGGGAUGACGGCUAACGGCCGUACGCCGUGAGGCGAGGAACAGGGCCACAGAGACGAGCGUAUUCAGUUACGGUGAAACGCGGUAACCUCCAUCCGGAGCAACACCAAAUAGGCGGACGUUGAUGCUGCUCGCUGAGUCCGCGGGUAGGUGGCUUGAACCGGUCAGCAAUGGCCGGUCUAGAGGAAUGGUUGUCCAUGACAGAACCCGGCUUACCGGCUGACUUUUCCA